AUGGGGAAGGCGGGGGAAGACACGCAGACAUCAAUUCGACUAAACAAAGUUUAUCAAUAAUAUUAAAAAUAAAAAGUAAAGCCCCUUUCUGAACAUUAUGGCUUAUUCCUUGAUUAUCCUUCUUAAUGCCACAGCGUGGCUAUCUCAGAACAAAAUUAGAGACUAACAGUAAAUUUACUUUAAUUUUUACGAAUAAUUCUCUAUCAAUGUAAAAAUUUUUCAUAUACGCGUGUAUGAAAGAAAAACACUACUAUUUUUCCACAUUCGUGAAAACUGCUUAACUGGGACAGUAACCGAGCGGCCAGUGAAUAUUUAAAAUACUGUAACCGACGAAUACGUAUGCUUCUAGGACCACGUGGAAUCUUUCCCAUGGAAGAACCAACUAAAGCAUGAAUGAAUGAAAGCCUGCACACACCAGGGGCCCGCCUCAACCCUCCUCCUCUCUUGGAAACACGCCUCCUGCGGGAGGCAGCGGGAGGAGGUUCACGCGGCAUGACCGCGCUCUUGUCCUCCCGACGGCCUCGGAAGGUAAGGGGCGACGGGGGCCGGCUGGAAGCUUGGCGGGGCACGUCACCCACUGACCCGGCCACUCACCAGUGCACCAACACCGCACGGCCCUCAGCGCGGGCCUGACCGAUGAAGGCCACGCACCGGUCCAGAUGGCUGAGUAGGUCCGUCUCGGGUUUGUCCAGCGCUGGCACGAAGAGGCGCCAUAGAUCCUCGACCCCAGGCCCCGCCUUGAAGCUGGGCUCCUCCGAGUCCACUGUUAGCACGGCCGUGAUGCCCGCUUCCCUCAGGUGAUCUGGCUCCGCGACGGCCGCGGCCCCACCGAAAUACAAUCCUGGCUGCACUUCCAGCAUCUGCCCGGCACAGCUGACUCUGCUGGCGCUGGGGUUGCUGAGCUCGCAGCCAUCACUCGGGCCCGGAGCCUCCAACAUGGCCGCGCCCAGAGACAAGGCGGCUUCCUGCCCUACCAUCGAGUAGACUCCGGCUAGAACAUCCUUCCCCUGGGACUCGCCAGCCUCGGCGGCUCUGCUGCUCCCUCGGAGGACCACGUCGGCCGCAGGAAUCUGGACUUAUCGCUGAGGGGCGGAGCUUCGGCCCCAUUCAGCGCGGCCUUUCCACCCUUGUUCCCUCUGACCCCUACCCCCAAAGUUGAUGGUGAAGGAUAAGCUUCCCCAAAUACAGGGUUUCUCGAGCUCUUAGUAUUGAAAUUUUCAGGAAAGAGACAUCAGGAGCAGCUGAACUCAAAUGUGAAAUAAAUGUCGCACCAGCUGAAUCAGAAGCA
rnacentral:lncRNA from 1 species